rnacentral:siRNA from 1 species
GAGGGUAUUUGGUUAGGCCUGGGU